GACGAACGCUGGCGGCGUGCUUAACACAUGCAAGUCGAACGGAAAGGCCCUGCUUGCAGGGUACUCGAGUGGCGAACGGGUGAGUAACACGUGGGUGAUCUGCCCUGCACUUCGGGAUAAGCCUGGGAAACUGGGUCUAAUACCGGAUAGGAGCCAUUUUUAGUGUGAUGGUUGGAAAGUUUUUUCGGUGUAGGAUGAGCUCGCGGCCUAUCAGCUUGUUGGUGGGGUAAUGGCCUACCAAGGCGGCGACGGGUAGCCGGCCUGAGAGGGUGGACGGCCACAUUGGGACUGAGAUACGGCCGAGACUCCUACGGGAGGGAGCAGUGGGGAAUAUUGCACAAUGGGCGCAAGCCUGAUGCAGCGACGCCGCGUGGGGGAUGACGGCCUUCGGGUUGUAAACUACUUUCGCUAGGGACGAAGCUUUUUGUGACGGUACCUAGAUAAGAAGCACCGGCUAACUACGUG
rnacentral:rRNA from 1 species